rnacentral:lncRNA from 1 species
UGCACACUAUGCUUGAUGUCCAUGCAUUUUCCCUUCUAUCUAACCAUCCUCCUGGAUCAUUUCCGGAUGUAUGCUUGCUUCUGAUCAGCAUCUUUCCUUUUUGCAUCCUUGGAAAGUCAACGACUACCCAUCCCUUCGUAGAAAUCACCCUACUAUCCUUCACAUAUCACGUGUAUUUCCACGGAAAAUCCCUUGAUUCAGAGUGGAAAAACAGUGCCUUGUGGCACAAAAUUACCUGGAUAGUGCCUGAAACUCUAUUAGGUACUCUCGCAUGAUGAUCCUCCUCACUUACAAUUACCAUUUAAAUGAUCAAGGCUUAAAACUAUUUCCUUAUUCUCAGUCCAAUUAUUAUUAAUGCAAAAUUCCUCUUCCAUAUUUGUUGAAUUGUUUUGCUAGCUCACAGAUUGGGCCUUAUCUUGUUCUGAUUUCUUUUGGGAAUCCUGUAAAUUAUUUAAUUUUAUUUAUCUUUCAUCUGUCUCAAGUGGGACUCCUAAUGAGGAUCUUUUAUAACGGGUAAUGCCAUAUCAGCAGGGUUGCCUUAUUUUAUACAGAUCUCUAUGAUUGAAAGGGCGGUGGAUGAUAAAUCUCAAGCCCUUGUCUCCUAAUUGGAAGCAUUAAUGAAGAAGUAGUAAAGCAUUGGAUAGGGAAUGAAUGGCAUAGUAAGAUCAGAAAAUUGGGCUGGCCUACUACGAAAGGUG